AAGGUACCAGAGUUUAGAUCACAUUAUGAUGAUUUUACUUUUUUCCCCAUCUUAACGAAAAAUGCUGACUUCGUUGCUAUAUGCACAAGCCAAACCAAAUCUGACUUGUGUUGCAAACUCUGGUGAAUUUUUUUCGUAAAUCCUGUUUUAGCCCCUCUUGCUUGCUUUGUUUAAUAUUUUACUGGGUUUAAAUUUCAGAUAAUAGAAAGAAAGGAUGGAGAUGGAUCAGACAGAAAAUUCCAAGAAAAUGCAGUUUGAAUAGGACAUGUGCGAUCAUUACAACUUAAAAUGAAGACGAACCAGACGAGAUGUGAACUUAUUUAGAGCAUCACGUGUCUCGAUGGAGUGUCCUCAAAAUAUUGGCAUGUUCUUCCGGAAACCUAACAAAUCACCCACAAUUCAUGAUGUUUAUAGUGUAUGAUCAUGUGUGUACCCAUGCACGUCAAAAUACAAUUGCAUGUCAAAAAAACUUUAGUCCACAUCAGGGGCUUGGCCAGGAAAAAAAUAUAGUCAAAAUAAGCAACAGUUGAAGGGUGUGGUUAAAAUUUGUGGUGGUGUCUUCCUCUAAAGUUAAAAAGAAAAGGACUCCAUGCCCCAUAUCAAAACAAACAGACCUUAAAUCAUUCUUAUAUCUAUUUUGUAGAUCCCCCCAUUUAAGAAAAAUGAUCUUAUAGAAUUGUUCACAGCACCUAGUGCAUAAAGGCAGAGAGAAUUAUUAGUAUAGUCAAAUGAUGAACAACACUCGUAAGAUAUAAUGUAGUAGUUAGACAGGAGUUCCUGCGAUAAAUGUAAAUACAAAACCUGAUGAUUUUUUGAUUUUAUAAUCCAAAAUUCUUAAUAAGACAUGGCCAAGUGGCCGUCUAUUUCAUUCUUGGCCAUCCAAAAAUGGCUGGGUGGCUCACUGGCUUAGCCCCUGGUCCACACCUGUAAGUGGCUUUUAUCUAAUGACGACCUCUGGGUAAUCAACUAAAAUAGGAUGCAGCAGACUUUAUUGUAGAUUCUACAUUGUGUUAAUAAUACAGUAUAUUACUUUAAGACUAAUAAUUUGAUGAAUAGUUUUUUGAUUGAAUAAACAACAAGCAAGAUUAAUGAAA